UGAUUCUCCUGUUCACCUGGCAUCCCUGA
rnacentral:piRNA from 2 species